rnacentral:rRNA from 1 species
UACGGGGGGGGCAAGCGUUGUUCGGAAUUACUGGGCGUAAAGGGCUCGUAGGCGGCCAACUAAGUCAGACGUGAAAUCCCUCGGCUUAACCGGGGAACUGCAUCUGAUACUGGAUGGCUUGAGAUUGGGAGAGGGAUGCGGAAUUCCAGGUGUAGCGGUGAAAUGCGUAGAUAUCUGGAGGAACACCGGUGGCGAAGGCGGCAUCCUGGCCUGUUUCUUGACGCUGAGGCGCGAAAGCUAGGGGAGCAAACGGG